UAAGGAAUAUUGCUCAAUGGCCGAAAGGCUGAAGCAGCAACGCCGUGUGAAGGAUGAAUGGCUUUUGUUUGUAAACUUCUGUAAGAGGAGAAAAAUACCCCGUUUUACGGGAUUGAUUGUAUCCUCAGAGUAAGCCCCGGCUAACUACGUGCCAGCAGCCGCGGUAAUACGUAGGGGGCAAGCGUUGUCCGGAUUUACUGGGUGUAAAGGGUGCUCAGGUGGAUUUGUAAGUCAGAGGUGAAACUCCGGAGCUUAACUCCGGAACUGCCUUUGAUACUGCAAAUCUUGAGUUUGAGAGAGGGCAAUGGAAUAUCUGGUGUAGCAGUGAAAUGCGUAGAUAUCAGAUAGAACACCAAUGGCGAAGGCAGUUGCCUGGCUCAAUACUGACACUAAAGCACGAAAGUGUGGGGAGCAAACAGG
rnacentral:rRNA from 1 species